GAUGAACGCUAGCGGCAGGCUUAACACAUGCAAGUCGAGGGGUAUAGGAAGCUUGCUUCCUAGAGACCGGCGCACGGGUGCGUAACGCGUAUGCAACCUACCUUUUACAGAGGGAUGGCCCAGAGAAAUUUGGAUUAAUACCUCAUAGUAUAUGUUUUUCGCAUGUUAGACAUAUUAAAGUUCCAACGGUAAAAGAUGGGCAUGCGUCCUACUAGCUAGAUGGUAAGGUAACGGCUUACCAUGGCAACGAUAGGUAGGGGUCCUGAGAGGGGGAUCCCCCACACUGGUACUGAGACACGGACCAGACUCCUACGGGAGGCAGCAGUGAGGAAUAUUGGACAAUGGGCGCAAGCCUGAUCCAGCCAUGCCGCGUGCAGGAAGAAGCAUCUAUGGUGUGUAAACUGCUUUUGUACGGGAAGAAACACUCCUACGUGUAGGAGCUUGACGGUACCGUAAGAAUAAGGAUCGGCUAACUCCGUGCCAGCCGCCGCCGUAAAAC
rnacentral:rRNA from 1 species